rnacentral:rRNA from 1 species
AAUGGGCGAAAGCCUGACGCAGCAACGCCGCGUGAGUGAUGAAGGCCUUCGGGUCGUAAAGCUCUGUCAGAAGGGAAGAAAUGGAAGGGUGUUAAUACCAUCUUUUCUUGACGGUACCUUCAAAGGAAGCACCGGCUAACUCCGUGCCAGCAGCCGCGGUAAUACGGAGGGUGCAAGCGUUGUUCGGAAUUAUUGGGCGUAAAGGGCGCGUAGGCGGUCUUGUAAGCCCGGCGUGAAAACCUGGGGCUCAACUCCGGGCCUGCGCUGGAACUGCGGGACUAGAGUCAUGGAAGGGAAGUUGGAAUUCCAGGUGUAGGGGUGAAAUCUGUAGAUAUCUGGAAGAACACCGGUGGCGAAGGCGAACUUCUGGCCAAUGACUGACGCUGAGGCGCGAAAGUGCGGGGAGCAAA